AGGGGAAUAUUGCACAAUGGGGGAAACCCUGAUGCAGCGACGCCGCGUGAGCGAAGAAGGCUUUCGAGUCGUAAAGCUCUGUCCUAUGAGAAGAUAAUGACGGUACCCAGUGAGGAAGCCCCGGCUAACUACGUGCCAGCAGCCGCGGUAAUACGUAGGGGGCUAGCGUUAUUCGGAGUUACUGGGCGGAAAGGGUGCGUAGGUGGUCUUUCAAGUCGGUAGUUAAAGGCUACGGCUCAACCGUAGUUAGCCUCCGAAACUGGAAGACUUGAGUGCAGGAGAGGAAAGUGGAAUUCCCGGUGUAGCGGUUAAAUCCGUAGAUAUUGGGAGAAACACCAGUGGCGAAAGCGGCUUUCUGGACUGCAACUGACACUGAGGCACGAAAGCGUGGGUAGCAAACAGG
rnacentral:rRNA from 1 species